CACACCGGGAGAAGGAAUCAGAUUGUGUUGCAGAUGGUUGCGAGCCACCAUGUGGUUGCUGGGAUUUGAACUCAGGACCGCUGGAAGAGCAGUUGAAAGACCCCAGCUUAGCAGCAGUAACGCCAUUUUGCAAGGCUAUAUUUAAGAUGACUGGUUCAGAGAAAGGUUAGAACACUGAGUACACAGCGGCUGCCAAACAAGAUGUGUUUGGUUGAAGGCCUGGCAACAGGAGGACUGCCGUUGAGCACCUGACAAUGAGAAAAGCCCCGGGAGAGGUCCCACACCCUGGUGGGGGGCCGAGUCAGCCGUUAUGUUCCAAGAAGGUAGCUAAGAAACUUGCCCCCAGGCUGAACCCUUGGGGGGCCGAGUCAGUCCUUAUGUUUCAGGAAGGUAGCUAGGAAACUUGCCCCCGGGCUAAACCCUUGCCAUAUUAGAAUCCACCAAUUAUAUCCCUGUAACCAUGCAUCUGCUUCUGUAUGCUUGCUUCUGCUCCCCAAAAUCCUAUAAAAGCCCAUCCUUGGUUCCAUGGGGCGCGCCAGUCCCCCGAGUGACUGAAGCGCCCGCAGGUGCCUGUGCCUGUGUAUCCCGACAAUAAACCAAAUCCUCUUGCUGAUUGCAUCCUGUGGUGUCUCGGUCUGGUCUUUGGAGUUGGAGGGUCUCCAUCCCGAGGGAAAGUUCUCCCAGAGAGCUUUUCAUUUGGUGCGUUGGCCGGGAAAGGAGAUCCUCCACCCAGGGACCACCGACCACCCACUGGGAGGUAAGCUGGCCGGCGUCUGUCUGUCUGCCUGAUUUUGUCUCGUUCUGCCUUAUUCUGUCUGUUCUGUGAGCGCUCAGCCAGGUUCUGUGAGCGCUCAGCCAGGUCUGUUCUGUGAGCGCUCAGCCAGGUCUAUUCUGUGAGUGCUCAGCCAGGUCUGUUCUGUGAGUGCUCAGCCAGGUUCUGUGAGCGCUCAGCCAGGUCUGUUCUGUGAGCGCUCAGCCAGGUUGUUUGGAAUUUGGGCGGGACGAAGAAGGAGCUGACGAGCUCGGACUUCUCGCCCUGCAGCCCUGGAAGACGUUCCAAGGGUGUUAGGGGCCCGACUUUUCGGGGCCCAAUCUGGGAGAGGAGAAAGAUCCGGACUAACGGCACCUCUGUCUGUAUUUUUGGCUUUCAGAGGGCCCCGGACCUUUGCCACCUCCACCUGACUUUUUGCUUUCAGUUUGGUACCAAAGCCGUGCAGCACGCCUGUCUGUUGUUUGUUUGACUGUUGGUGUUGUUUGUUUUCUCUGUGUUCUAAUCUUCCUUAGAACUAACAUGGGACAGUCCCUAACAAUGCCCCUAAGUCUCACUCUUGAUCAUUGAGAAGACGUCCACGACCGGACACACAACCAGUCCAUCGAGGUUAAAAAAGGAAAAUGACAGACUCUCUACACAUCCGAGUGGCCCACUUUCGGAGCGGGAUGGCCAGUGAAUGACACAUUUAAUAAGAUCAUUAUUUUACAGGUUAAAGAUCGGGUCGUCCACGGACAUCCUGACCAGGUUUCUUAUAUUAUCACUUGAGAGAGUCUCGCCUUAACCCCCCCCCGGGCGGAACCCUUCGUGAACCCGAAUUGGCCUCCCCUCAACCCCCAGCCUGUCCCCUCGGCCCCGCCCGGUCCGCCGGCCACGUCUUCCUCUCUCUACCUUUGUGAAAUCAGAGCCUUCUAAGAAACCUGUCCUCCCGGCAGACCCAAACUCCCCUCUCAUAGAUCUUCUCUCUGACAGGCCCGGCUGAAACGGAGGAGGCAGAGCCGCCGGCCAGAUCAGUUGCCGGGCCACAGUCUGAUAAGGGUUUCUCCCCUGUCGCAGGGAGAUUGCGCAAUAAGCGCGAGGUGAUGCCAGAUUUCAACCUCCCAGGCUUUCCCACCUAGACAGGGAACCGGUGGCCAGACCCAAUACUGGCCGUUUUCAGCAGCUGACAUUUACAAUUGGAAACAACACAACCCUUCUUUCUCCAAAGAUCCGGUGGCACUCACCGACCUAAUAGAAUCUGUUUUACUUACCCACCAGCCUACUUGGGAUGACUGCCAACAGCUCUUACAGGCCCUCUUAACCUCAGAAAAAAACAAAAAACAAAAAACAAAGAGUGUUCCUAGAGGCCAGAAAGCAUGUUCUGGGAGAUGAUGGGCGUCCCACCCAGCUGCCUGAGGACCAAACUGAGAUUUUAAUACAGCUGAAGGUAAGGGACACCUACGCCUUUAUCGCCAGUUGCUUCUAGCGGGUCUCCGAGGGGCUAUACGACGCCCUACUAAUUUGGCUCAGGUAAAACAGGUAUUACAGGAAGCAGGGGAAACUCCCUCCGCCUUUCUAGAGAGACUUAAGGAGGCCUACCGUAUGUACACUCCCUAUGAUCCAGAUGACCCAGGACAAAUGACGAGUGUCUCUAUGUCCUUCAUCUGGCAGGCUGCUCCAGAUAUCAGGACUAAGUUACAGAGGUUAGAAAAUUUGCAGGGCUAUACAUUACAGGAUUUACAUAAAGAAGCUAAAAAGAUUUUUAAUAAGAGAGAGAAUUGAGUCGAAUCUUGGCCGCCGUAGUUCAGGGCCAAGAAAGGAAGGGAGAUAGGGGGGAGCUCGAAAGGGGCUGAAGCUGGAUAAAGAUCAAUGUGCCUAUUACAAAGAGAAAGGACACUGGGCCAGAGAGUGCCCCAAGAAGCCUGGCGGACCCCGAAAGCCUCGACCACGAACCUCCCUCUUGGCUCUAGAUAAAGAUUAGGGAGGUCAGGGCCAGGAGCCCCCCCCCUGAGCCCAGGGUAACGCUUAAGUUGGGGGGCAGCCGGUUACUUUCCUGGUAGACACAGGAGCCCAGCAUUCAGUCCUCACUCAAGCUUCAGGACAACUCAGCGACCGGACGGCCUGGGUACAAAGAGCUACUGGUGAGAAACAAUACCGAUGGACUACGGACCGCCGGGUUCAGCUGGCUACUGGUAAGGUGACCCAUUCCUUCUUACAUGUUCCGGACUGCCCGUACCCUCUGCUGGGCCGUGACCUGCUCACCAAACUAAAAGCACAAAUUCAUUCUCAGGAAAGAGGGGCCCGAAUAACUGGCCCCCACGGAACUCCCCUUCAAGUUCUAUGAAUAUAGACUAUAUGAACUGGGACAGGACAAGCCACAAUCCCUAGAAAUAGACACUUGGGUCACGAAUUUUCCACUGGCUUGGGCAGAGACUGGUGGGAUGGGGUUGGCACUCCAACAGCCCCCCUUAAUUAUACAGUUAAAGGCCACUACAACUCCAGUCUCCAUAAAACAAUACCCCCUGUCACAUGAAGCUUAUCAAGGUAUAAGGCCUCACAUUACGAGGCUUCUAGAUCAAGGCAUCCUAAUCUCCUGCCGGUCGCCUUAGAAUACGCCUCUUCUGCCUGUUAAGAAACCCGGCACUGGAGAUUAUAGGCCAAUACAAGACUUGAGAAAGGUCAACAAGAGGAUAAAAGAUAUUCAUCUGACUGUUCCAAACCCUUACAAUUUGCUCAGUAACUGUUCAUUGAUGAGAAACGGGUAUGCUAAAGGGGUCCUAACACAAAGGUUGGGACCCUGGAAACGCCCUGUGGCCUACCUGUCUAAGAAAUUGGACCCUGUGGCCUCCGGCUGGCCACCGUGCCUAAGGAUGGUGGCUGCUAUUGCUGUCCUGAUCAAGGACGCUGGAAAAUUGACUUUGGGACAGUCACUCACCAUCCUAACACCCCACGCAGUGGAGGCCUUGGUAAAACAGCCCCCAGACCGCUGGCUCUCUAAUUCCCACAUGACCCACUACCAAGCCUUGUUACUGGAUGCAGAACGGGUUCAGUUUGGGCCCGUAGUCGCCCUCAAUCCUGCCACCUUGCUUCCUCUACCAGAGGAGACAGAACAGCAUGACUGACUACAAAUCCUCGCAGAAAUACAUAGAACCAGGCCGGACCUAUCGGACCAGCCUCUUCAGAAUGCUGACCACACAUGGUACACAGAUGACAACAGCUUCUUGGCAGAGGGAGAACAAAAAGGCUGGAGCUGCGGUCACUACGGAGGACAAAGUGAUUUGGGCGAAAGCCCUGCCUGCUAAUACCUCUGCACAACGGGCUGAACUCAUCGCCUUGACUCAGGCGCUCAAGAUGACAAAAGGUAAGAGGCUAAAUAUAUAUACAGACAGCCGUUAUGCCUUUGCCACGGCACACAUCCACGGGGAGAUCUACCGGAGGCGGGGGCUGCUCACAUCUGAGGGUAAAGAUAUUAAAAAUAAGGCUAAAAUUCUGGCCCUCUUAGAAGCCCUAUUCUUGCCCAAAAGACUGAGUAUUAUACAUUGUCCAGGACACCAGAAAGGGCACAACCCAGAGGCACGAAAAAACCGGCUGGCCGAUGCCACGGCGCGAGAAGCGGCCAUGAACAAACAAAUCUUGCCCUUAAAUAGCCCAGACCAACCCACGCCCCCACCAGUGGGACAAACUAGUUGGGUUUAUGCCCAUGAGGACAUAGAGCUCCUAAAAAAAUGGGGGCCAUCUACCACCCUCAACUAAAACAGUGGGUCUACAAAGGACUUUUGAAUUGAUCUCCUUUUUACAUAAGAAGAUAAAAACCUUACUAGAUCGAGAAGAGAUAAAUCUGUGUUUUUUUUUGAAUUGGGACAAAGCGAUACAAAAGGUGACUGAGAGUUACAAAGCGUGCGCUCAGGUUAACCCGGGAAGGACCAUGAUUGGACAAGGAGUUCGUCCUAGGGGACACCGUCCCGACAUCCAUUGAGAAAUUGAUUUUACUAAAAUUAAACCAGAUAUAUAUGGAUACAAGUAUCUCCUAGUGUUUGUAGACACCUUCUCAGGAUGGGUCAAAGCCUUCCCCACGAAGCACGAGACUACAAAAAUGGUCACCAAGAAGCUCCUCGAGGAAAUCUUUCCCAGCCCUUCUCUGAGGGCCCAUUUACAGGCCCUACAGAUUGUGCAGAGAGACGUCUGGAGACCUUUGGCCGCUGCUUACCAGGACAAGCUUGAACAUCCGGUGGUGCCACACCCGUUCCAGAUUGGAGACACCGUGUGGGUGCGCAGACACCAGACCAAGAAUCUCGAGCCACGGUGGAAAGGACCCUACACCGUCCUCCUGACUACCCCGACCGCCCUAAAGGUAGACGGAGUCUCGGCUUAGAUCCACGCACCACACGUCAAGACAGUCCGGUCUGAGGAAUUGACUAAUCACAACACUACACCCCAGACAUGGAGAGUUCAGCACACUCCAAACCCCUUAAAGUUAAAACUCCUACGUGGCUCCUCCUAGUCCUUUUGUGGCCUAGAGUCAGUGGGGGAAUAAGCCCCCACCAGACAGAAAUUUCUUGACCAAGUCGAGUGAAAGAUUUCACUCAAAGUUAACAAAAAAAAAAAAAUGGGGGAAUGAAAGACCCCAGCUUAGCAGCAGUAAUGCCAUUUUGCAAGGCUAUAUUUAAGAUGACUGGUUCAGAGAAAGGUUAGAACACUGAGUACACAGCGGCUGCCAAACAAGAUGUGUUUGGUUGAAGGCCUGGCAACAGGAGGACUGCCGUUGAGCACCUGACAAUGAGAAAAGCCCCGGGAGAGGUCCCACACCCUGGUGGGGGGCCGAGUCAGCCGUUAUGUUCCAAGAAGGUAGCUAAGAAACUUGCCCCCAGGCUGAACCCUUGGGGGGCCGAGUCAGUCCUUAUGUUUCAGGAAGGUAGCUAGGAAACUUGCCCCCGGGCUAAACCCUUGCCAUAUUAGAAUCCACCAAUUAUAUCCCUGUAACCAUGCAUCUGCUUCUGUAUGCUUGCUUCUGCUCCCCAAAAUCCUAUAAAAGCCCAUCCUUGGUUCCAUGGGGCGCGCCAGUCCCCCGAGUGACUGAAGCGCCCGCAGGUGCCUGUGCCUGUGUAUCCCGACAAUAAACCAAAUCCUCUUGCUGAUUGCA